rnacentral:rRNA from 1 species
AUUGAACGCUGGCGGCAGGCCUAACACAUGCAAGUCGAGCGAGCGGCGGACGGGCGAGUAAUGUAUGGGGGCUGCCCGAUAUAGGGGGAUAACUACUGGAAACGUUGGCUAAUACCGCAUACUGUCGGAUAACCCACUUGGAGUUAGCUCGUAGGUGAGGGAAUGGCUUACCUAGGCGACGAUCCCUAGCUGGUCUGAGAGGAAGACCAGCAACACGGGGACGGAGAACCGGCCCAGACUCCUACGGGGGCAGCAGUGGGGAAUAUUGCAAAAUGGGCGCAAGCCGGAUGCAGACAUGCCGCGUGUAUGAAGAAGGCCCUAGGGUUGUAAAGUACUUUCAGUAGGGAGGCGUUACCGACAGAAGAAGCAACGGCUAACUCCGUGCCAGCCGCCGCGGUAAUUC